UAGGGAAUCUUCGGCAAUGGACGAAAGUCUGACCGAGCAACGCCGCGUGAGUGAAGAAGGUUUUCGGAUCGUAAAACUCUGUUGUUAGAGAAGAACAAGGACGUUAGUAACUGAACGUCCCCUGACGGUAUCUAACCAGAAAGCCACGGCUAACUACGUGCCAGCAGCCGCGGUAAUACGUAGGUGGCAAGCGUUGUCCGGAUUUAUUGGGCGUAAAGCGAGCGCAGGCGGUUACUUAAGUCUGAUGUGAAAGCCCCCGGCUAAACCGGGGAGGGUCAGUGGAAACGGGGAGACUUGAGUGCAGAAGAGGAGAGUGGAAUUCCAGGUGUAGCGGUGAAAUGCGUAGAUAUAUGGAGGAACACCAGUGGCGAAGGCGGCUCUCUGGUCUGUAACUGACGCUGAGGCUCGAAAGCGUGGGGAGCAAACAGG
rnacentral:rRNA from 1 species